AAAGAGUAAUUUAGAAUUUGUCACUACGGGAUUUUUAAAUAGUUAAUUGUUUCUAUUAAUGGUAAACCUCCUUGUCAAUACAAGAAUUCAUUAAUUUCAUAAAUAAGUUUUAUGAUGAUAAUAGAGGACCAUUCACCAGUAAAUGGUGAAUCUGAAACCAUAAAAUCCAAUUUGAAGUCGAAAAGAAGCUUUUUUUCCCAUUUGCUUUUGAGAAUAAUUUACCUUAUAUAGCCCAAAUUAAA